AUUGAACGCUGGCGGCAGGCCUAACACAUGCAAGUCGAACGAGUGGCGGACGGGUGAGUAAUGUCUGGGAAACUGCCUGAUGGAGGGGGAUGACUACUGGAAACGGUAGCUAAUACCGCAUACCAUCAGAUGUGCCCAGAUGGGAUUAGCUUGUGGGUGGGGUAACGGGUCACCAAGGCGACGAUCCCUAGCUGGUCUGAGAGGAUGACCACCCACACUGGAACUGAGACACGGUCCAUGCUCCUGAGGGAGGCAGCAGUGGGGAAUAUGGCGCAAUGGGCGCAAGCCUGAUGCAGCCAUGCCGCGUGUAUGAAGGAGGCCUUCGGGUUGUAAAGUACUUUCAGCGGGGAGGCGUUACCCGCAGAAGAAGCACCGGCUAACUCCGUGCCAGCAGCCGCGGUAAUUC
rnacentral:rRNA from 1 species